AACCAUAGAAACCUGCGGAGUACCUGCGGAAGGAUCAUUACACAAUAAACAUAUGAAGGCUGCACCGCCAACAGGCGGCAAGGCUGGAGUAUUUUAUUACCCUUGUCUUUUGCGCACUUGUUGUUUCCUGGGCGGGUUCGCCCGCCUCCAGGACCACAUGAUAAACCUUUUUAUGCAGUUGCAAUCAGCGUCAGUACAACAAAUGUAAAUCAUUUACAACUUUCAACAACGGAUCUCAGA
rnacentral:misc_RNA from 1 species